rnacentral:tRNA from 1 species
UGCGUUAUAGAGCAGCUAGGUUAGCUCACUAGGCUCAUGCCCUGGAGGUCGUAGGUUCAAAUCCUGCUGACGCUA